UCGUCUCAAAGAAAUGAACUGCUCCUCUUUCAUCCUAGAAUCCAUAUUACUUUGCAAACCGACCAGCAAGUGCUGCUAUUGUCACUGAAAAGAAAAAUGAGUAUACUAAGAACCUUCUCAAACAAAUAGAUGCCAAUAGUAAACUGGCCAAGAAAAAGAAAGAAAAUCAGAAAGUCUUGGAGCAACUAGAACGGCUGCAACUCAAACAAGAGAUUGAUGAACAAAAAGCUGAACUGAAGAAACAUCAAUUUGAGGAGAGAGAAAUGUAUAAGAAAGCACUGGAAUACCAGCUGAAACACAGGCCUUCCAGACUGCCCAUCUACGAGUCCAUGGGCACCUUCACAAACUUUGGGCAGAAUGAAGAGACCCUGGAGGCCGAGAAGCGGCAGAGAAAUAUUGAAUAUAUGAAGCAGCAGGUGGAAACCGCUCUAGGCCACAGAAGACAGCGUGUCCUCAACCAAAUAAAAAAUCUGCAACAAGAAAAAAAAAUGCUUCAGAAAAAACAAGAAAAGUAAGGGGCCUGGCCCUUCCUUCCUCACCAUAACCCUCUCCUCCUUUCUCUCCCUCUCCUCCCCCACCCCUUGACACCAACCUUAGUAGAAACAUGUGUGGACACGUGGAGAGUCAUGACUGACCCUAGCUUGCCCCAGCCUGCUUCUCAUCUCUACUCCCCAGUCAACUUCUGAGGCUGUUGCAUGUCACAAACCACCUUAU